rnacentral:antisense_RNA from 3 species
CUUGAACGAGCCGAGCAGGAGCGGGCGUCGCGGGUCGCGGUCCUGGCCGUAGGUGGCGAGGAGCGCGUUGGCCUC